rnacentral:rRNA from 1 species
UUAGUGGCGAACGGGUGAGUAACACGUGGGCAAUCUGCCCUGCACUCUGGGACAAGCCCUGGAAACGGGGUCUAAUACCGGAUAUGACCGUCCAUCGCAUGGUGGAUGGUGUAAAGCUCCGGCGGUGCAGGAUGAGCCCGCGGCCUAUCAGCUAGUUGGUGAGGUAGUGGCUCACCAAGGCGACGACGGGUAGCCGGCCUGAGAGGGCGACCGGCCACACUGGGACUGAGACACGGCCCAGACUCCUACGGGAGGCAGCAGUGGGGAAUAUUGCACAAUGGGCGAAAGCCUGAUGCAGCGACGCCGCGUGAGGGAUGACGGCCUUCGGGUUGUAAACCUCUUUCAGCAGGGAAGAAGCGAAAGUGACGGUACCUGCAGAAGAAGCGCCGGCUAACUACGUGCCAGCAGCCGCGGUAAUACGUAGGGCGCAAGCGUUGUCCGGAAUUAUUGGGCGUAAAGAGCUCGUAGGCGGCUUGUCACGUCGGUUGUGAAAGCCCGGGGCUUAACCCCGGGUCUGCAGUCGAUACGGGCAGGCUAGAGUUCGGUAGGGGAGAUCGGAAUUCCUGGUGUAGCGGUGAAAUGCGCAG